CCUCCCUGCUCUCUGCUCCCUCGCGGCAGGCCGGCAACUUCCUAUCUCUCUGCUCGGCUCCUCCCACGGCACGCCGUGCUCCAGCUCGGAUUCCCCCUCCAUGGCGCGCCCGAGCACUCCGGCUCUCUGCUCGAGCUCGCCCAGCUCCCUGCUGCGGUGACUAGCGCUCAGCGUCCGGCUCCCUGGGUGCUUGCCCUGCUCGCCGCCAUCCUGCUGGAUCCCCUCCACGGCGCCCGUUCUUCCCGGGUGUCUUCCUCCACCGCGCUCUCCUCUGCAAGCAACUGGGUUCUGCUCUGCCCUGGGCGUCGUUCUCAGUCACUGGUGGACCGCGCGCCCCUCUG
rnacentral:misc_RNA from 1 species